GACGAACGCUGGCGGCGUGCCUAAUACAUGCAAGUAGAACGCUGAAGGAGGAGCUUGCUCUUCUGGAUGAGUUGCGAACGGGUGAGUAACGCGUAGGUAACCUGCCUGGUAGCGGGGGAUAACUAUUGGAAACGAUAGCUAAUACCGCAUAAGAGUAGAUGUCGCAUGACAUUUGCUUAAAAGGUGCAAUUGCAUCACUACCAGAUGGACCUGCGUUGUAUUAGCUAGUUGGUGAGGUAACGGCUCACCAAGGCAACGAUACAUAGCCGACCUGAGAGGGUGAUCGGCCACACUGGGACUGAGACACGGCCCAGACUCCUACGGGAGGCAGCAGUAGGGAAUCUUCGGCAAUGGACGGAAGUCUGACCGAGCAACGCCGCGUGAGUGAAGAAAGGUUUUCGGAUCGUAAAAGCUCUGUUGUAAAGAGAAAGA
rnacentral:rRNA from 1 species